GUUCUUUCCAUCUUCUGUUCUGCCAUGGUGGUGCCUUGGCUUUGUGGUCAGGUUGGUUCCCCACAUAGAUGCCAAAAGACUGCACAGGUACUAAUUAUCAUGUCUAGUUGCGACAACAUCCAGCAGGACAAAUGGAUUGUGUCUUCUUUGUGACGUGAUAUUUGAGACCUGACCAUUUAAAGAGAAGUCUUGGGCUGUAUAUUAACGCUUUGAGUCUAUCUGACUGAGGACUUCAGUUUCCCAUCAUUCAGGGGGCAAAUGAAGCACUGGAAGUGGAAAACAUUGCUCGCCUCACAGGAAUUGCCUUGACUAAUUGAGUAACGUAGGAGUUCCAGGACACAGAGUAACUCCAAUGGCGUCAGAGGGCUCACCUCCUGGGAGAGCUUCGAGUCUCCUGCAGUCACAGAGGCCAAGUUCCUCAGCUCCAAGCAACAUCAUGCCUCAACCCAUACUUGAGUGAAAAUUCAGGGAGGUAUAUGGACAAUCAGAAGUGCAGAUGGUUUAACCAGGAUAUAAUCUGGAUAAGUUUGACCAGCUGAGGAUAAUUGAAUUUAAGGAAAUGGAAAAUAUAACAUCACUCUAUUCUACAAUAAAUCGAGUAAUGAAGACUUAGAAGCCAUUUGGACCAGAAGUAGGUUUGCUUCACCUGGCGAAAGCAAAUUUGUCACAGUGAUAUCCUGAGCUGCUAAAUACACUAAUAGAGAAGCUGAUCAUACAGUAUUUCAUUUUGUAAAUGUAUCAAAUAGCUCUCUUUAAUAUAUACCAAGUCCAUUCAUUAAACAAUCAUCACUGUAAAAAAAUCGAUGUUUGAAAUAGUGAUAACAAA
rnacentral:lncRNA from 1 species